rnacentral:rRNA from 1 species
AAAUUGAAGAGUUUGAUCAUGGCUCAGAUUGAACGCUGGCGGCAGGCCUAACACAUGCAAGUCGAACGGUAACAGAAAGCAGCUUGCUGCUUUGCUGACGAGUGGCGGACGGGUGAGUAAUGUCUGGGAAACUGCCUGAUGGAGGGGGAUAACUACUGGAAACGGUAGCUAAUACCGCAUAACGUCGCAAGACCAAAGAGGGGGACCUUCGGGCCUCUUGCCAUCGGAUGUGCCCAGAUGGGAUUAGCUAGUAGGUGGGGUAAAGGCUCACCUAGGCGACGAUCCCUAGCUGGUCUGAGAGGAUGACCAGCCACACUGGAACUGAGACACGGUCCAGACUCCUACGGGAGGCAGCAGUGGGGAAUAUUGCACAAUGGGCGCAAGCCUGAUGCAGCCAUGCCGCGUGUAUGAAGAAGGCCUUCGGGUUGUAAAGUACUUUCAGCGGGGAGGAAGGGAGUAAAGUUAAUACCUUU